UCACUCGCUCUCUAUCUCAUGCGCCGCCGUUCUAUCACCUUCUCCACGCGACACUACCGCCACCAGAACCGUCAGAGUCGUCCUACUUCGGCACUCGCCGGCGAUUUCUCGUUUCUUCCACUCCGGUUUUAGUAGACGACGACACGCUCACUGACUCCGUGCCGAUCCCGGCGGAGAUUGUUAACUUCUGUGACGGAGUGAUUGGCAGUGGUGAAGAGUCGAUUCUUCCUGUUCAAACUCUGAUUUCGGUGCUAGAAGCUUAUCAUAGUCUCUCUGGCUUCCCUUGUUGGUGUAUAAGGACUUUUCUGGUGGGUAAUUAUUGCUACUUCGACUUUGGCAUUCAGACUUGCGUUGCUUCCUGUUGUUGUUUUGGGAAAGAUAGGAGAGUUAUCUUGUAAAUAGGAAGAAGAAGAUGAUGAUGAAGCAGAAGAAGGAUGACUUAACUACUUGUUUUGAAAGAUUUGGAUGUCAAUGCAAG